rnacentral:tRNA from 1 species
CGGGACGUAGCGCAGCUUGGUAGCGCAUCUGCUUUGGGAGCAGAGGGUCGCUGGUUCGAAUCCAGUCGUCCCGACCA